UGAUUGUCCGCCACUGUAGGGGAAAUGUUUGUUUAUCUCUUGCGGUGUGCUGUACGUUUGCUCGGAUGUUUUACAUGAUGAACAAUUUCGUGGUAGAAAACAGCCUCCUGAGUUCCGCCGUGAUGCAGGGGACAAGUAUUACUAGCGCAUUGAAUGGAUGAUUGCUGUCUGAUUACUGGGAAAACGAGAUGCGAUACGAUUGUUUGACAUGGUUUACCUUAGGUUGGCAGGAAGCAUUCCACCGAUCGCACGUGGAGAACGCGGAUUUUUACGGAGAAGCGGCAAUGCAAGGCUUACGUUAGCGAAUUUUCGGCACGGUUGUCUCAUAACAGCAACCGUCUCAUUUUCUACGAUAUCUGGGAGCAAUGAGGAAAUACGGGGAUAAAUCAGAAUGCCAAUCAGCGUGUUGGUUGUAACGGGCAGCACACGUACAUAAUACCUUAUGUAUUAUCACUGUGUCGUAUCGCCAAGGCACCUCGUGUUGAGUGCUUGAAAUGAGAAUGGACGGAACUGCUUCGUAGUUAGCUACAGACUAACUGGCGAGAAUGGUGACACUGUCAUAGAGAUCUGGAUUUGGUGGACCUCAGUCGAAAGACGAUGAAACAGAUCUAGGAUUUUUUGAAGCAGUAUCGGCAGUCACAAUUAUGUGAUUUGCGUGCAAUGACUGCCUUUAGCACCAUAAAUCAGACCGAAGUGUGGAAAACCAUACAGCAGUACAGAUCGCCACCGCGGAUAAUGGUGUAAGGUGCAGUGUAAGGUGAGAAUGUCGAACAUGUUGUCGGAAUCGUGCAAUUUCCACCGAGGUCCUAGAUCUAGAAGAUGGCAAGCGCAACGCGAGCUUCGAUAUCCGGGGCACGGUUUAUCCCCGAUUUCUUCAAUUCCUUGGCUACCGUGACUGUCAGCCGGACUGUGAAGCAGAGUAUCUGUUAACGGUGACCAUCUCGAGGUGACCAUCUUCUACUGGCAAGAGUCCUGGACUAUACUGACGAAAAACGCCAAUACAAUGGCCAUUUUUGAGCGGUGGGGGCCAUUAACUAUCCUUCGGCUGGGCGUGCACUGAAGUAUAUGAACCAUUACCUAGCUACUGAGGAUAUCUUAAGGGUAGUUAAAGUCGGAAGGUUUUGAAGGUGCACGUGACAAGGAUGCCGGCCUCCUGUCCCAUCAGUAAGGUGUUCGUCAGCGAUCCGUUCGGUUCGAGGCGUAGAGAAGCACCGUGAGCCCGUUUCAAAGGAUAAAAACACGUUUAUUUCUCUUGCAAUAGUACGAAAAGUAAAAAUCAGACUUUUUACCACACUUGCGCUACAAGAAUCUUGCGUCACUGUUAAAAAAACUCAUCCAAAAACUUUCAAAAAUGCAAAAUGUCUCUUCAUACAGCGUGGUACCGUGUCAUCAUUUUGCCGUUUCUGGUUUUCUUUGGCUUGAUUUUAUUCGAAGCUGGAAAGCCAAGUCCUGCGUUUGAUGAUGAGACGAUAUGGAUGGGAUUUGAUCGUGGGUCCAGUGCGAAGAUCGAUGCUGCAAUUGUCUCGACCACCGGACCAUCACAUUCCCUGUUAUAAGUUCUACAUGUAUAGAUUAGAAUUACUCUGCGGAGAAUAAUUGGCUCCAAUGCUUAACUUCUUCAUCAGUGACUGGAACUGAUCUGCAAUGUCCUGGUAUCGUGCCAAACGGAGCACUGACUUUUAUAUUUGUGGCAAAGUGUCAAUACGUCAACCAGACAAAAGUUACCCGUUCAGGUCUAACCAUUUCGCAUUGGGCGAGCAUCUCCAGCGUAUAGAACGGGUCGACUCCAAGGCAUGUGGAUCUUCUAUGGUCUUUUGUGGAGUACGAGGCUGCUCGAUCGCUGUUAUUGGACGCAGUUCGGGACAUCGGCAGAACGCCUAACGUUCCAGUUCGAGGUUUGCUAGGAGGCGUGGAUGAUACCUACCUGAGGUCUAAUUUUGAGUUGUGCCGAGCGAAUGAUCAGGCAAAGUGAUGGAAGAACACUGGCUCUCGAAACCCAUUGAAAUAUCCACAAAGGCUAACACUACCGUGAUGAGAUGAUCACACACGAUACCGACCCUCGUAAUCAACAAGACAACAAUUUGGAUGACGGAAUUAUUAUUUACGGAUCAGUCGAGCUAAUCCGGGAUUCACGGUUUGGAGAAGGAAAGGACUCCAAACCAUCGUGAAAUGUUUUGUUAUCUACUUUAAAGCUAGGACGGCCAGGCCCUUCAUGAAUAAAAAAUUAAAUGAAAGGUA